ACAGUUUAAUAUUAUAUAUUAUUAUGUAUUUUUAAGAUUUUAAGAUUUGGGUUUAGGGUUUAUAUUUAGGUUUAGGGUUUAGUGAUUAGAGUUUAGGGUUUAGUAUUUGAAAGGUAGGAGUUGAAGUUGGGUCAAUAUUAACUUCUUCCAUGCAAGCAUAUAUACUUCAUAAUUCUACCAAUAUGUACUAUUUAAGAUUUGGGUUUAGGAUUUAUAUUUGAGUUUAAGAUUUAGUGAUUAGAGUUUAGAGUUUAGUGAUUGUGGGUGGGGUUAAAAUCGUAUACUAUUUCGAUGAUAUGAUAUCAUCCGCUCCAUCACAAAUACUAUUUUGGUGAUAAAAGUUGUUAUUUCCCUCAUCAUGCGCUCCACUAAAAGAAUUUAGCAGUAAAUAGUAUACUCAUGUUCGCUA
rnacentral:lncRNA from 1 species